GACGAACGCUGGCGGCGUGCUUAACACAUGCAAGUCGAACGGAAAGGCCCUGCUUUUGUGGGGUGCUCGAGUGGCGAACGGGUGAGUAACACGUGAGUAACCUGCCCUUGACUUUGGGAUAACUUCAGGAAACUGGGGCUAAUACCGGAUAGGAGCUCCUGCUGCAUGGUGGGGGUUGGAAAGUUUCGGCGGUUGGGGAUGGACUCGCGGCUUAUCAGCUUGUUGGUGGGGUAGUGGCUUACCAAGGCUUUGACGGGUAGCCGGCCUGGGAGGGUGACCGGCCACAUUGGGACUGAGAUACGGCGCAGAAUCCUACGGGAGGCAGCAGUGGGGAAUAUUGCACAAUGGGCGGAAGCCUGAUGCAGCAACGCCGCGUGCGGGAUGACGGCCUUCGGGUUGUAAACCGCUUUCGCCUGUGACGAAGCGUGAGUGACGGUAAUGGGUAAAGAAGCACCGGCUAACUACGUG
rnacentral:rRNA from 1 species